UACGUAGGGGGCAAGCGUUGUCCGGAAUCAUUGGGCGUAAAGCGCGUGUAGGCGGCCUUGUAAGUCCGUUCUGAAAGUCCGGGGCUCAACCCCGGGAGGCGGAUGGAUACUGCAAGGCUCGAGUCCGGAAGAGGCAAGUGGAAUUCCCGGUGUAGCGGUGAAAUGCGCAGAUAUCGGGAGGAACACCAAUGGCGAAGGCAGCUCACUGGGACGGUAUUGACGCUGAGACGCGAAAGCGUGGGGAGCAAACAGG
rnacentral:rRNA from 1 species